rnacentral:rRNA from 1 species
CCUACGGGAGGCAGCAGUGAGGAAUAUUGGUCAAUGGGCGCGAGCCUGAACCAGCCAAGUCGCGUGAGGGAUGAAGGCUCUAUGGAUCGUAAACCUCUUUUAUAAGGGAAUAAAGUGUGGGACGUGUCCUAUUUUGUAUGUACCUCAUGAAUAAGGAUCGGCUAACUCCGUGCCAGCAGCCGCGGUAAUACGGAGGAUCCGAGCGUUAUCCGGAUUUAUUGGGUUUAAAGGGUGCGUAGGCGGCCUUUUAAGUCGGCGGUGAAAGUCUGUGGCUCAACCAUUGGAGUGCCGUUGAAACUGGGGAGCUUGAGUAUGUUUGAGGCAGGCGGAAUGCGUGGUGUAGCGGUGAAAUGCUUAGAUAUCACGCAGAACCCCGAUUGCGAAGGCAGCCUGCCAAGCCAUGACUGACGCUGAUGCACGAAAGCGUGGGGAUCAAACAGGAUUAGAUACCCUAGUAGUC